GUAGUUGCAGAUGCAGCAUCAUUAAGAUUCACAAGAGAUGUGCUUUCCUUUGUUUGGGCUCGUUUCGAAUGGGAAUCUUGAUGAUGCUGCAUCAGCAAAUAC
rfam:Brassica napus, WGS project CCCW01000000 data, contig: 15107